AGGCUGGCUUGUGAACGCAAGAGAGCCAGGGAACAAACGACCUAGGGGAUCGACAGAUAUUCUGAGCCUGAGAGAGCUUCGGGAUUGAGAAGGGUGGUUAAUUCAUGGAAUAGUGGUGGGAAAUUGAGGUGAAAAUUUGAGGCCAACUGGGAUAGAAAAAUCGAGAUUUUCGAUCACCGAGGAAAAUCUUCCAUUUAUUCGACUCCAAAGGGCGAGGGGUCCUCUUGGAGACUCGUUUCAUUCGGACCAGGUGAUUGGUGGAACAUUCCAUUGGAUCCGCUGACAAGUCAUCGAAUUUUGGCCUUCAAGGCCGGGCCAAAAGGCCACACCAUAAAAUAACGCCCGCCUCAAAUAAGGCCUUUAAUCUCCUGCCCCACGGAAAAAGACCUGAACAAUGGGGUCGCUUAGUGCGGAGAAUUACGCACCGCGUUUCGUGCACAAGCCUCAACUCCGACAGGAGGACGAUGGCAACCGGUUAAUCUUUGAAUGUGAGCUUGCUGGCUCCCCUCAACCCAAUGUGUACUGGUUCAGGGGAGACUCUCAAAUUUCGGAGGAUGAUCGGACCUACGUCCGGGUCCAAGAGACCCCCAAUCGAACAUUCCUGGUGGUGCUUGAGCUCAACGACGUGGUCGAGAGCGAUGCUGGCUUGUACAAGGUCAAGGCUAAGAAUAAGUUUGGAGAGGUUGCUGCCUCCAUUAACCUUAAUUUUAGCCGUG